rnacentral:rRNA from 1 species
AACGCUGGCGGCAGGCCUAACACAUGCAAGUCGAGCGGUCGUAGCAAUACGGCAGCGGCAGACGGGAGAGUAACACGUGGGAACGUACCCUUCGGUUCGGAACAACCCAGGGAAACUUGGGCUAAUACCGGAUACGUCCGUAAGGAGAAAGAUUCAUCGCCGGAGGAUCGGCCCGCGUCUGAUUAGCUAGUUGGUGGGGUAAUGGCCCACCAAGGCGACGAUCAGUAGCUGGUCUGAGAGGAUGAUCAGCCUCACUGGGACUGAGACACGGCCCAGACUCCUACGGGAGGCAGCAGUGGGGAAUAUUGGACAAUGGGCGCAAGCCUGAUCCAGCUAUGCCGCGUGGGUGAUGAAGGCCCUAGGGUUGUAAAGCCCUUUCGGCGGGGAAGAUAAUGACGGUACCCGCAGAAGAAGCCCCGGCUAACUUCGUGCCAGCAGCCGCGGUAAUACGAAGGGGGCUAGCGUUGCUCGGAAUCACUGGGCGUAAAGCGCACGUAGGCGGCUUCUUAAGUCAGGGGUGAAAUCCUGGAGCUCAACUCCAGAACUGCCUUUGAUACUGGGGAG